UACGGAGGAUGCAAGCGUUAUCCGGAAUGAUUGGGCGUAAAGCGUCCGUAGGUGGCUGUUCAAGUCUGCUGUCAAAGGUUGGGGCUCAACUCCAAACAGGCAGUGGAAACUGAGCGGCUAGAGUGCGGUAGGGGUAGAGGGAAUUCCCGGUGUAGCGGUGAAAUGCGUAGAGAUCGGGAAGAACACCAGUGGCGAAAGCGCUCUACUAAGUCGCAACUGACACUGAGGGACGAAAGCUAGGGGAGCGAAUGGG
rnacentral:rRNA from 1 species